rnacentral:lncRNA from 1 species
GGAUAAGCCAAGCUCUUGUGUCCUGGCAGAUAAACAAGGUGAACCCUCAAUCCGUGUAGCAGGAGUUUCCAGACAAACUCACUUUGCAUGGAAGGACACUAACCCUUCCAGGUGUGUCUAAUUUUGUGGAAAGGAGAAGGUUGGGAGCUCCGGAGCUAAUAGGAUGCACAGGAGGAAGAUACGGAGCACAGUGGCUGAGACCUGACAGCUCUCUGAAGACUCCACUUCACCGCCGCCACUCCACUUCACCGCCGCCAGCCCUGGCCCACACCUUUCUUAAGAGCAACUUAAGAAAUUUGCAACUUCAAAACCAGACCAGAGGGUGAGAAGAACUAGCCAACCCAUCCUCCAAGUGUGACUGAGCGGUCAGG